rnacentral:misc_RNA from 2 species
AGACUCAACCCCCCUGGUUUAUGAUCGGGAAGGGUUGGAUGUGGGCGCUGCCGAUUGCCGGCUCGCCUUAAAUGUCUUAGCGGCUUGGAAGCCCCGACCUAGCGUAAUAAGUUUCGCUGGAGAGGGUGCGGACGACUGCUCACAAUUGCCUUUGGGCAACUUUUUGA